rnacentral:rRNA from 1 species
GACGAACGCUGGCGGCGUGCUUAACACAUGCAAGUCGAACGGAAAGGCCCUGCUUUUGUGGGGUGCUCGAGUGGCGAACGGGUGAGUAACACGUGAGUAACCUGCCCUUGACUUUGGGAUAACUUCAGGAAACUGGGGCUAAUACCGGAUAGGAGCUCCUGCUGCAUGGUGGGGGUUGGAAAGUUUCGGCGGUUGGGGCUGGACUCGCGGCUUAUCAGCUUGUUGGUGGGGUAGUGGCUUACCAAGGCUUUGACGGGUAGCCGGCCUGAGAGGGUGACCGGCCACAUUGGGACUGCGAUACGGCCCAGACUCCUACGGGAGGCAGCAGUGGAGAAUAUUGCACAAUGGGCGGAAGCCUGAUGCAGCAACGCCGCGUGCGGGAUGACGGCCUUCGGGUUGUAAACCGCUUUCGCCUGUGAUGAAGCGUGAGUGACGGUAAUGGGUAAAGAAGCACCGGCUAACUACGUG